UUAUAACGAACGUUUUGUCCAGGGGUAUCGACGUCGAACAGGUUACCAUUGUCGUCAACUUCGACCUGCCGAUGGAUCAGCAGGGACGAGCCGAUUGCGAAACGUAUCUACAUCGAAUUAGACGUACCGGUAGAUUCGAACGGAAUCACCAUCAUCCUAGUG